AUGGCCCACACUCUGCCUGUGGAGUGUGUUUCUGUCUAAAUAAAUCCACUUCUUACCUAUCACUUUGUCUCUCACUGAAUUCUUUCUGUGCUGAGACAUCAAGAACCUGAGCUUCAUUAAGUCCUAAAACCAGGUGUGUGAUCUCAGUUGGAAGACUGUGGGUUUUGGCUGGGUUCAAGUCCCAGCUGAGUGGGUUCAAGUCCCAAUCUGAGGUGCACGGUUUCAAGACUACAUGUCAAGAUUCAUGAUCUUGCAGGUCUAUCAGUGGAAGUCCAGAGUGAGAACCUUCCCACCUCCAAAACAAGCAUAUCAAAAACAACCACUGUGGGCUUCCCUGGUGGCGCAGUGGUUAAGAAUCCAGCUGCCGAUGCAGGGGACACGGGUUCGAGACCUGGUCCAGGAAGAUCCCACAUGCAGUGGAGCAACUAAGCCCGUGAGCCACAACUACUGAGUCUGCGUGCUGCAACUACUGAAGGCUGUGAGCCUAGAGCCCAUGAUCCACAGCAAGAGAAGCCACUGCAAUGAGAAGCCCGCGCACCGCAAUGAAGAGUAGCCCCCACUUGCCGCAACUAAAGAAAGCCUGCGCGUAACAAUGAAGAUCCAACACAGCCAAACAUAAAUAAAUAAAAAAUAAAUAAAUUUAUUUAAAAAAAAACAA